AGUUCAGCCUAAUGGUUAUGAUUUCUGUUUGGCCCAAUUUGUAGCUUGAGGGUGACAGAAGGUUCUGAGUUCGAUCCUCAGCUGAACUA